UUCAUUAAAAAAAUUAGGAAGAAAAGAACUUCCCCUCAAACCGAACCGGAUCGGCCGACCGGUUCACUAGAUUGGACUAGUUCUUGAAAUACCUCAUCCCCCUUAGGUGUUGUGAUUUUAUAUCUUCUCCAACUCUUCCAAACUCCAUUGAUACUUUUUCAAGGUUUUUGGGCAAGGCAAACAAAGUGGUGGAAUAAUUUUCUUAAAGCACUAUGGGAAGAAGGAGAAAGAGUCAUGGAAAGAGAGCUUGAAGGAUGGAAAGUGUUGAGAAUCCUUUCAUGAAACAUGUUAAUGACAUAAUUGAAUUUUUCAUGAAAAUUGUGAAUUUUUGUGAUUAAAUGAAAGUGGAAUAGGUCUAUGAAUAUUUAGGAUCCAAAAUUGAGUCAAUAGUCAAAAAUUGACCAAAAGUUAAAAGUUGACCAAAAGUCAACAGUUGACCAAAAAGUCAAUCAUACCAAAAUGAUGUAAUUUUUUCCUUUUUCCUUGUAAUCCCUUAUUUUCACUUGUCUAUCACAUAAUAAGUCUUUUAUUAUGAAUAAAUGAAAUGUUAUAUGAA